rnacentral:lncRNA from 1 species
UUUUGUUUUGUUUUUUUUUCCCUUCCCCUACAGUUCCAAGGAUGGGAGUGAAAAGCUGGAGGUCAAACAGCUCUAAGGUUGUGUUAAUCCAGACCAGAAGUGAUAGUGGCUUGAGCUAUGCAGCAGAUAUGCAGGUGGAGACUCAACGGAGAACAGAACAGUCUUACUAAAAAUUACAGAGAGAAAGUGGAAAUAAAGAAUUGUGGCCUUGACACGGAUGUGUACAAUGGAGGCCUCUGCGUAUGUAUGUACCCAGUGCUGCCAAGACCCACGGUGAAACUGUAUCUUCUGGCCACAGUUUUAAGGCUUACAGACGCCCGGAACCCUUGCACCCCAGGUUCCUUGGAGCCUUUCUCCAGGGCUAAUCCCAAGGGUUCCUGA